GAUGAACGCUGGCGGCGUGCCUAAUACAUGCCAGUCGAGCGAACGGACGAGAAGCUUGCUUCUCUGAUGUUAGCGGCGGACGGGUGAGUACACGUGGAUAACCUACCUAUAAGACUGGGAUAACUUCGGGAAACCGGAGCUAAUACCGGAUAAUAUUUUGAACCGCAUGGUUCAAAAGUGAAAGACGGUCUUGCUGCCACUUAUAGAUGGAUCCGCGCUGCAUUAGCUAGUUGGUAAGGUAACGGCUUACCAAGGCAACGAUGCAUAGCCGACCUGAGAGGGUGAUCGGCCACACUGGAACUGAGACACGGUCCAGACUCCUACGGGAGGCAGCAGUAGGGAAUCUUCCGCAAUGGGCGAAAGCCUGACGGAGCAACGCCGCGUGAGUGAUGAAGGUCUUCGGAUCGUAAAACUCUGUUAUUAGGGAAGAACAUAUGUGUAAGUAACUGUGCACAUCUUGACGGUACCUAAUCAGAAAGCCACGGCUAACUACGUG
rnacentral:rRNA from 1 species